GACGAACGCUGGCGGCGUGCCUAAUACAUGCAAGUCGAACGCAGUGGGGACGGGUGAGUAACACGUGGGUAACCUCCCAUCAGAGGGGAUAACACUUGGCAACAGGUGCUAAACCGAUACUGAUGGAUGGACCCGCGGUGGAUGAGCUAGUUGAUGAGGUAACGGCUCACCAAGGCCACGAUACAUAGCCGGCCUGAGAGGAUGAUCGGCCACACUGGGACUGAGACACGGCCCAGACUCAUACGGGAGGCAGCAGUGGGGAAUCUUCGGCAAUGGACGAAAGCCUGACCGAGCAACCCCGCGUGAGUGAAGAAGGUUUUCGGAUCGUAAAACUCUGUUGUUAGAGAAGCGGUAUCUAACCAGAAAGCCACGGCUAACUACGUGCCAGCAGCCGCGGUAAUAC
rnacentral:rRNA from 1 species